UGUUCUUGCUCUUAUUUACCUGUGGUUCAUAAAAGCAUGUGCUGGCAGUCAAAGGGCACUUCUAGCCAGAGAGAGCUCAUGUGUCCCUGAUUUCCUCUAGGCCAAAGAAAAUGCAGAACUGCUGGAGAACUUGUAUAGCACAACCAUCGCGUCCUUCAGUAGCAGCUGGGAAGGGAUCCGGGCAGGUGCCGCCAACUUAGCUGGCAUCAUCCUGGAACAUACAGACACUCAGCGUAUGAAAUGGCUGGACCUGGAACAUCUGCUGAUGUCUCUCCGGGUCCUAGAGAAAGACCCAAGUCCCACUGUCCAGCUGGUGGCAACUGAGCUCAUAAGUGACAUCUGUCCUGGCCGAGCGCUUGGCGAAUGAAGCAGAACGGAGACAAACAGAACAAGGCACUCCAGUGGUAUAAGGGCCCUACCAUCAAUCAAAUGUUAAUCCCACCCCUUGACCCCGGCAGCAAGAUGUGUCAUGUGACCCCUCUAAGGACUCCUCCCACUGCCAUCUACCGAUCAGGGUGGGUUUCGCCCCAAUAGGAAUGCCACGAGGGAAGACUUGACCAAUCAAGGGGAGUUCCAGGGCAGGUGACCUGUCCUUUGUGUGACCCCUCUAAGAACUCCUCCCACUGCCAUCUACCGAUCAGGGUGGGUUUCAGCCACUGGGGAUCACUCCAAGAGGAGAUUUGUCCAACUGGGGGGAAUUCUGGGGUGGGGUGACCCAUCCGGAAGUGCUUCAUGUGACCCUUCUAGGAACUCCUCUCACCACCCUUUGCCAGUUGCGAUGGGUUUCAGCUGCAGAGGACUGCCCCAAGAGGAGAGUUGACCAAAACAAGGUAGGUUCUCGGAAGGGGUGAACCUCCCAGAAGAGGGUUGUGUGACCCCUCUAAGAACUCCUUCCA